AUUGAACGCUGGCGGCAGGCUUAACACAUGCAAGUCGAGCGGAGAUGAGGUGCUUGCACCUUAUCUUAGCGGCGGACGGGUGAGUAAUGCUUAGGAAUCUGCCUAUUAGUGGGGGACAACAUUCCGAAAGGAAUGCGAAUACCGCAUACGUCCUACGGGAGAAAGCAGGGGAUCUUCGGACCUCGCGCUAAUAGAUGAGCCUAAGUCGGAUUAGCUAGUUGGUGGGGUAAAGGCCUACCAAGGCGACGAUCUGUAGCGGGUCUGAGAGGAUGAUCCGCCACACUGGGACUGAGACACGGCCCAGACUCCUACGGGAGGCAGCAGUGGGGAAUAUUGGACAAUGGGGGGAACCCUGAUCCAGCCAUGCCGCGUGUGUGAAGAAGGCCUUAUGGUUGUAAAGCACUUUAAGCGAGGAGGAGGCUACUGAGACUAAUACUCUUGGAUAGUGGACGUUACUCGCAGAAUAAGCACCGGCUAACUCUGUGCCAGCAGCCGCCGUAA
rnacentral:rRNA from 1 species